rnacentral:lncRNA from 1 species
AAAAGGGCGUCAAAGCGUGUCAUUUGUAUUAUGCAAACGCCUAAACAUGUCCAUUUGUUUUUAAUAAACACCCAAACGUGCCCAAUCCUUCAAACGUGCUCAAUUCCCCAAACUUGUCCUAUAAUAUAAAGGGAAAUAAAAGAUUGUUAUACUGAUAUUUCGUAAAAAUGAAACUGUCUUUUUCCGCUCCAAAAAAAAAAUAAUUUAAUUCCGAGUUACAAUUAGUAUAAACUCUUAAUAACCGUAAAGUGUAAAUUCUUAUAACUGUACACAUUUAGGCCUAAUCCCAAAUUCCCGGAAUAAUUAAGGUACAAUCCAAGAGUUCCGGCAAAUAUUCUUCCGCAUCUCAUUAUAUAACUUAUCCAAAGUAUGUUGUCGUCCUGUCCAUGCAUGAAAUAUUUGCCACUGGACGUAAUGUCUCUUGUUUGCGUGUAUUUUUAAGUGAUGCUCGAAACCAAAAGUUCAUUAUGCCAAACCUUACUACCAGUUUAUAAUUUUAAGAGUUUUUUUUUCUAUUUUUUGAGAGAAUCAAAUUAAGUUUCUUAGUGAAAUUAUGAAAAAAUCGGUCUUUACUGGCAUUUUGGAUUUUUAAGUUUAACUAAUGUUAAUCCCGAAUAAUCGUAAACAAAUUUAAAACAAUCCUAAAUCCCCGGUAUGAUAAUAAAAUAUCAGAACUGUUGAAAAAAAAAGAAAGUCAAUCCUUUUAAAAGCCCGCCGUGCAGUAUUCGCGGAUUGCAGCUGAUUUCCUAAUGCUUUCAAAGUAAAACUUUGUUAGGCUUGCUUGCAUUGUUUGUAUAAUUGUUAAUACAAGCUUUGUAAAUAAGAUUGACAUCUUUAAACAAUAUAUAUAGGCAUUGUUUAACCUGAAUAUAUCAUAUUU